rnacentral:rRNA from 1 species
ACGAACGCUGGCGGCGUGCCUAAUACAUGCCAGUUGAGCGAUGAAGAUUGGUGCUUGCCCCAAUUUGAAGAGCAGCGAACGGGUGAGUAACGCGUGGGGAAUCUGCCUUUGAGCGGGGGACAACAUUUGGAAACGAAUGCUAAUACCGCAUAACAACUUUAAACAUAAGUUUUAAGUUUGAAAGAUGCAAUUGCAUCACUCAAAGAUGAUCCCGCGUUGUAUUAGCUAGUUGGUGAGGUAAAGGCUCACCAAGGCGAUGAUACAUAGCCGACCUGAGAGGGUGAUCGGCCACAUUGGGACUGAGACACGGCCCAAACGCCUACGGGAGGCAGCAGUAGGGAAUCUUCGGCAAUGGACGAAAGUCUGGCCGAGCAACGCCGCGUGAGUGAAGAAGGUUGUCGGAUCGUAAAACUCUGUUGGUAGAGAAGAACGUUGGUGAGAGUGGAAAGCUCAUCAAGUGACGGUAACUACCCAGAAAGGGACGGCUAACUACGUG